rnacentral:rRNA from 1 species
UACGUAGGGCGCAAGCGUUGUCCGGAAUUAUUGGGCGUAAAGAGCUCGUAGGCGGCUUGUCACGUCGGGUGUGAAAGCCCGGGGCUUAACCCCGGGUCUGCAUUCGAUACGGGCUGGCUAGAGUGUGGUAGGGGAGAUCGGAAUUCCUGGUGUAGCGGUGAAAUGCGCAGAUAUCAGGAGGAACACCGAUGGCGAAGGCAGGUCUCUGGGCCAUAACUGACGCUGAGAAGCGAAAGCAUGGGGAGCGAACAGG